CUGCUGGGUUGGCAGUAGCUGGUGAGUGCUCACUCUGGCCCUGCAACACUAGCUUCUGCGGAUACCAUAUCAUAAAAUGCUGCUGAUCCCUGUGAUUUCCCCAAAUAUGGGGAACUCAACUGCAUAAUUUGUGUUAAUGGGGGCAUUAUGUUUGUGAUUUCUCUG
rnacentral:snRNA from 1 species